rnacentral:rRNA from 1 species
AACGAACGUUAGCGGUGUGGAUUAGGCAUGCAAGUCGUGCGCGAAAGCCUUCGGGCGAGUAAAGCGGCGAAAGGGUGAGUAAUACAUAGCCAACCUACCCCCGAGACCGGAAUAACCAGCGGAAACGCUGGCUAAUGCCGGAUGGUCUCCUGGAGGGCAUCUCUCAGGUAGUAAACGGCGGCUUCGGCUGUUGCUUGGGGAGGGGGUUAUGGACUAUCAGCUUGUUGGUGGGGUAAUGGUCUACCAAGGCGAUGACGGUUAGCCGGUCUGAGAGGACGAUCGGCCACACUGGGACUGAGACACUGCCCAGACUCCUACGGGAGGCUGCAGUCGAGAAUCUUCCGCAAUGGGCGAAAGCCUGACGGAGCGACACCGCGUACAGGAUGAAGGCCCUCGGGUUGUAAACCGCUGUCAGAGGGGAGGAAAUUUUGACCGAUCCUCAGAGGAAGCACAGGCUAAGUUCGUG